rnacentral:sRNA from 1 species
ACAGAGAGAAGAGGAAGAAGA